GUUCUUCCCUUCAAAUUAUGAAGGUAUGCUACCAUGAAUUUGCUAAAUAUAUCAAGAUAUUUGUUUGUUUAUACCUUAGAAUUAUAAUUUGGAGCUAAUUAAGUUGAGCCAAUGAUUUUAAUUUUGAGCAAUCUUAGUCAUGUAUUUAGGUAAUAGUUAUAUGAAAGAUGUUGGAGGUAGUUGUUUUGUUCUUGGUUUGCUUUUCAUAUGGACUUCCUAACUCUUAGAAAUAUAGUGGUUAUAUAUGAAAGAAUCCUGAAAAGAGAUUUAUGGUGAAUUUAUACUUAAAAUGGUAGUAAGAGUUGUAUACAAUUUGCCUUUUUGGAAAGCAAGAUAAAAUGCUUAUUUUUACUGGAUUAAGAAGAGUGCAUUGUUAGCUUAAAUUUGCUAAUUUAAUCAUAUGAAAUAAUUAAAAUAAUAAGUUUAGAAGGAAGAGAAAGGUUAUAAAUAAAGGAGAAGGAAAGGGAGAAGGAUGGUGAAUAGGAGCAGAAAUAAUGAUUGAGCAAGGUUAGCAACUUUGUCUUCCAUCCACGUGAGUUUGGUGCAUCCUUCAUUGUUGAUUUUUGAAUAUGUUUGUGGAUAUUUUUGAGGUCUAUAUGUCUAGAAUUUAUGGUUAAAAUUUGGUAAUUUUUCAUCGGUUGGAUUUGGAGAAAUAAAUU
rnacentral:misc_RNA from 1 species